rnacentral:lncRNA from 10 species
AUUAAAUUGGAACUUUGGAAUCUUAAUAGAAAACCAACUGACUUGGCUUGGUUUUCAGGUGCUGGUUCCAUGGCUCUUCCUGAGCCGAAAAUAAGGAAACUCCAUAGACCUUGUCCACUGGAACUCGUUCCCAUCUACCCUCCACUCUAUCCAGGGUGAUGGAUCUCUGCAGUAAGUGGAAGAGUUCUUCAUGGCCCCCAAGGUUAUAUCCAUCUAGAACUUCAGCACGUAAUUUCAUCUGGAAAUAGUGCCUUUGCGGAUAUAAGUUAGGUAAAACUGAAGAUGAGAUCAUACUGGAUUAGGAUGGGAUCUAAAUCCAAUGAAAAUGUCUUCAUAAAAAACAGGAAAGAACCCAUAGAAACACAAGGAAGAAGGUCAUGUGAAGAUGGAGGCAGAGAUUGGAGGGAUGCAGCCACCGGCCCAGGAAUGCCAGCAGCCACCCAGAAGCUGGAAGGAAAUGAGGGAUUCUCUCCUAGAACCUUUAGAGAGAACAUGGUCCUGUGAACAGCUUGAUUUUGGACUUGCCCAUAGCUUGUAUACUCUUACUUUGGAUACAAUUUUAUCCAAACUUGGCUAAACAGUUUCUCAGCCUAUGGAAAAUUUAAAAUGGAGAAGAUUCAACUCGAUUCUUACAGAUUCAAAGCAAGAAAAUGAUGGGAACAUAGGAGGAGACCAAGAAAGCCUAUAAAAAGCAAAAAUAUGAAGUGAACAUUGUGGUAGCUUUAAGAUGUUUAGUGUAGCUGCAGGCACCCUAUACACAUGAAAACCCCCAAGGGGAAUCCCCAUAUCACAGUGUAGUGUGAUAUUUGACAUUCGUGAUCAUCUAGAGAUGUACAGAAAAGGUGAAUCUGUGUUCUGUAUAUUCUGCCUAAGGCAAAGAAAUGUUUAGCUCUCUUUAAAAUAGUUCCAUAAUUUUUUCUAAAAAGCUUUGCUUGAAAACUGUAAGCUUCCCAUAUCUGGAGCAUUUCACUUUAAAUAUUUGGAUAAAUAUGUUAUCUUCUUACUUGGACAUUUCAUGUGUUUAGGGAUUGUCUUCUAAAUUCUUCCUAAUUCAUAUAGCUGCUAACACUUCCCGCAGAGCUAAACCAUUACAGAUAUGAAAUAAAGACCUAUUGAUUUGACUUACUUUUACUUGUAAAACCUUCUGAGUGUUAUAACCUCAUUUAAUCUUUCAGCAUUUACAGUUUCAAGAGUUUGUGUCACAAUUAGAAGAAUUCAGCUGCACCUCCAAGUGACAGCAGUUGCUCUGGUUGGUGGGUGAUCUCAGGAGGCUUGAGAAUUGCUUUGUCUGUGAGGGAAGUAAGACAUUUUCAGAGCCCCACUUUAGAAGGUGUGAACUGGCUAGAUAAUGAACCCCAGGGCUAACGCUGCUAUAGCAGUGGGAAGGAGGUGAUGGGUUUUCAGUUUGGACCUCAAACAUCAAUACCCUCCUGGUACGGGGAGGAACAGAGUCCCUCCUUUACUUCUCCAUUAGAAAGAAUGAGAUGGCAAGACAAUGAAACAGGCAAAGUGAACAGAGAUGCAAGACAAAAUUCAGGUGAGAGAGCCAGAGCAUCACUCAGCCAUUCCUGACAUGUAAAACAGGCAACUAGAAAUUUGCAGAAAGGAAGCGAAGUCUCCAUAAAGAUGUUUUUAAAGUGAGCUUGAAGUAUUUGGAGACAAUUCAGUGUUACAUAAAAUCUGCAAAUCUCUGGAUAAAGAAGCAGAGAUCCCAGCAUGGGACAAAUGGAGCCUCAAAAGUGGGAAGAAGACAGAGAAGACCAGGGCAGAAUGCAUCUCUUCCUUUCUCUUGGCUUUCCUGGAUAAGGACUGCAUCAUUCCUGUGGAAGGACAGGCCAUCAGCUCCGAAACACUGUAUGUAUUUUCCAGUAUAUACUGCUAGCUGUGUGAUGUUGGGAAAAUUUGUUACCCUGUCUAACCCCCACUUCCCUCAUCUGUAAAAUGGAAAUAAUGAUAGUACCUACCUAUCUCAUAGGUGGCAACUACAAGGGGCAGCACACUCAGGGAAUUAAGGAAGUUUCAGUGAACAUCAACUUUAUGAACACAGUGUUCAUAAAGGCAGGUCAGUGCAGUGGUUUGGGAGCCAGGAGAAGCACGUGGGCCGGAGUGUGCCUGCAGGAGACAAGGUCAGAGAUGUUGCUAAUAAUGGAGAAUAAAGGAUGCAUUCUCAUUACUGACCUUGGAGUCGUUCAUUCAUUCCCAGAAUGUGUUUUGUCAGCUUACUAAAACACUAAGUUAAAUAAUCCCAGGUUUUGUUUAUU